GGGCGGUUAGCUCAGCUGGUAGAGCAUCUGCUUGACGUGCAGAGGGUCAGGGAUUCGAGUUCCUUACCGCCCACCA
rnacentral:tRNA from 6 species